GGUCUCAGUUCAGAUUGCAGGCUGCAACCCGCCUGCAUGAAGUCGGAAUUGCUAGUAAUCGCGGAUCAGCAUGCCGCGGUGAAUACGUUCCCGGGCCUUGUACACACCGCCCGUCACACCAUGGGAGCCGGUAAUACCCGAAGUCAGUAGUCCAACCUCGUGAGGACGCUGCCGAAGGUAGGAUUGGCGACUGGGGUGAAGUCGUAACAAGGUACC
rnacentral:rRNA from 1 species